UAUUGAUUCCUUCAAACUAAAGGAUUUAUGUGGGUUCCCUUUUGUCUAAGGCUAACCUAAGGUAAAGGUGAUGAGUUCAUGACAUUUUGAAUGCUAGAGUGGAGUUGGAUUAUUGGUAAAAGUUGACUUUUUGAAGGUCUGCCACAUGGCACUGCCAUUUUCAAUCGAUUUGGGUGACGUGGCAUUGCCAUGUCACCUUGACAUGCUGACAUGGUAAUGCCACAUCAGCAUGUCGAUCAUACAUCUGUCAUCAAAAUAUGCCACGUCAGCAUCACAUCAAUGCUAAUGUUAUCGCCUUUAAUGUUCAAAUUGGAUGCUAUUAAGAGAGAGAUUAAAUUAGAGCAAUUUUCAAAAUCAAGGGAUUAAAUUGUUACGAUUUUGAGUAGUGUGAUUAAAUUAAAGAAAAUGCAUGAGUGCAGGAAUUGCUUGGGUAUUUUGACCAUUCUAAAACAA